UGGGAUAAUACCAAAUUCCAUUACAUGUAAAACCACGUAGAAAACAAGAGACAUAAAAGGAGACAACAGAUUCUUUUUGCAUGGAUGAAAUCAUGAGCUUCUCCCUGGGACCUUCCACAACUCCUUUGAUCAAACCUCCAAGACCUCUCCCAUGAAUUGCAGCUUCUGAUCUGUUCAAACUCACUGUUGAUCUGAUGGCAGCUGAAAGGGCAAAUGAGAAAGACUGUGAAUCAAUGAUAUGACAAAUGGGUGCCUCAUGGCAUCUGAGCAACUGUUCUGCCCUUGAUCAAGUAUCCACUGCUCAAGAGAUGUCCAAAU